ACGAACGCUGGCGGCGUGCCUCAUACAUGCAAGUAGAACGCACAGUUUAUACCGUAGCUUGCUACACCAUAGACUGUGAGUUGCGAACGGGUGAGUAACGCGUAGGUAACCUGCCUGGUAGCGGGGGAUAACUAUUGGAAACGAUAGCUAAUACCGCAUAAUAUUAAUUAUUGCAUGAUAAUUAAUUGAAAGGUGCAAUUGCACCACUACCAGAUGGACCUGCGUUGUAUUAGCUAGUAGGUGAGGUAACGGCUCACCUAGGCGACGAUACAUAGCCGACCUGAGAGGGUGAUCGGCCACACUGGGACUGAGACACGGCCCAGACUCCUACGGGAGGCAGCAGUAGGGAAUCUUCGGCAAUGGACGAAAGUCUGACCGAGCAACGCCGCGUGAGUGAAGAAGGUUUUCGGAUCGUAAAGCUCUGUUGUAAGAGAAGAACGGGUGUGAGAGUGGAAAGUUCACACUGUGACGGUAUCUUACCAGAAAGAGACGGCUAACUACGUG
rnacentral:rRNA from 1 species